rnacentral:rRNA from 1 species
UGGGGAAUAUUGGGCAAUGGGCGAAAGCCUGACCCAGCAACGCCGCGUGAGGGAAGAAGGGUUUCGGCUCGUAAACCUCUGUCCUAUGGGACGAAGGAAGUGACGGUACCAUAGGAGGAAGCCCCGGCUAACUACGUGCCAGCAGCCGCGGUAAUACGUAGGGGGCGAGCGUUGUCCGGAAUGAUUGGGCGUAAAGGGCGCGUAGGCGGCCUGGUAAGUCUGAAGUGAAAGUCCUGCUUUUAAGGUGGGAAUUGCUUUGGAUACUGCUGGGCUUGAGUGCAGGAGAGGAAAGCGGAAUUACCGGUGUAGCGGUGAAAUGCGUAGAGAUCGGU